rnacentral:lncRNA from 1 species
GGAGAUUUUGCUUUCUGGUUGCAGAUUACACAAUCUUUUACUAAGAUUUUGGUUCUAGAAUAAGAGGAACGAAAUAAAAAAGAGAAUAGACGCUUUUAUCUACCAAUUACGCAACAUCAAAGCCGUUCAAAGACAUGCAAUACAUCCCGACCGUUGCUGGGAUGAAUGGCCGACCGGUGCAGAGAAACUCGAUUGCUGCACUUGACACCGGGGUAAAUUUGCAAAGUGGCAUCCCAGAUGGUUAAAAUUUGACCAUAUUUGAGAGAAUUAAUGGUGUCAACUUAGAGCACCGAUUGCUCUGGAUGCAGAUUAGUUUGAAGGCUUCUUCGGUGGGGAGUUUUCUCUUGGUGGAAAAUUUUUCUUUAAAU